rnacentral:rRNA from 1 species
GAUGAACGCUGGCGGCGUGCCUAAUACAUGCAAGUCGAGCGAACAGACGAGGAGCUUGCUCCUCUGACGUUAGCGGCGGACGGGUGAGUAACACGUGGAUAACCUACCUAUAAGACUGGGAUAACUUCGGGAAACCGGAGCUAAUACCGGAUCAUAUAUUGAACCGCAUGGUUCAAUAGUGAAAGACGGUUUUGCUGUCACUUAUAGAUGGAUCCGCGCCGCCUUAGCUAGUUGGUAAAGUAACCGCUUACCAAGGCGACGGAUCGGAGCCGGACCGAGAGGGGGAACCGGCAACACGGGACCUAGGACAGGUCCAGAACCCCAAGGGAGGGAAGCAUUGGGAAUACUUCGGAAAUGGGGGAAAGCCUGACGAGGCAACGCCGGGUGGGUGAUGAAGGUCUCCGGAUCGUAAAACCCUGUUAUUAGGAAAAAAAAAAGGUGUAAGUAACUAUGCAGGUCUGAAGGGACCCUAAUCAUAAAGCCCCGGUAAAUUACGG